rnacentral:RNase_P_RNA from 1 species
GGGAUGCACUGCAUCGUCGCGCGGCCCCUAACGGGGAGUGAGGAAAGUCCGGACACCAGAGGGCAGAAGACCGGGUAAUGCCCGGGGGUCGAACUGGCGACGGUUCGACUACGGAAAGUGCCGCAGAAAAUAUACCGCCUCCGGGUAAGGGUGAAAAGGUGAGGUAAGAGCUCACCGCGCCGACCGCAAGGAAGGUGGCAGGGUAAACCCUCUUCGGUGCAAUCUCAAGUAAGCAGCCGUCAAGAUCGGCCCGAUCAAGGCUGCGGGUAGAGAGCAAAGACCGUUCGGGUAACCGAUUCGGCAAGAGAAAUGACGGUGGUCCACAGAAUCCGGCUUACAGGUGCAUCCCCACU